rnacentral:rRNA from 1 species
UCCUGGCUCAGGACGAACGCUGGCGGCGUGCCUAAUACAUGCAAGUCGAGCGGAUUGAUGGGAGCUUGCUCCCUGAUAUCAGCGGCGGACGGGUGAGUAACACGUGGGCAACCUGCCUAUAAGACUGGGAUAACUUCGGGAAACCGGAGCUAAUACCGGAUAAUCCCUUUCCUCUCAUGAGGAAAGGCUGAAAGAUGGUUUACGCUAUCACUUAUAGAUGGGCCCGCGGCGCAUUAGCUAGUUGGUGAGGUAACGGCUCACCAAGGCAACGAUGCGUAGCCGACCUGAGAGGGUGAUCGGCCACACUGGGACUGAGACACGGCCCAGACUCCUACGGGAGGCAGCAGUAGGGAAUCUUCCGCAAUGGACGAAAGUCUGACGGAGCAACGCCGCGUGAGUGAUGAAGGUUUUCGGAUCGUAAAACUCUGUUGUUAGGGAAGAACAAGUACGAGAGUAACUGCUCGUACCUUGACGGUACCUAACCAGAAAGCCACGGCUAACUACGUG